rfam:Ktedonobacter sp. 13_2_20CM_2_56_8 13_2_20cm_2_scaffold_1708, whole genome shotgun sequence.
CCUGGUGUUCCACCACCAGUACCUUACCGAGACCUGCGUUGGGAGCAAUUCCAGGGUGGGAAGCUCUCGGAACAAUGUACCCUCUCUCAAGUGAGGGCGAUGGA